UACGGAGGGUGCGAGCGUUGUCCGGAUUUACUGGGCGUAAAGAGCGCGCAGGCGGUCGUGCAAGUCGCGUGUGAAAGCCCCCGGCUCAACUGGGGAGGGUCACGCGAUACUGCUCGACUCGAAGGCAGGAGAGGGAAGUGGAAUUCCCGGUGUAGUGGUGAAAUGCGUAGAUAUCGGGAGGAACACCAGUGGCGAAGGCGACUUCCUGGCCUGUUCUUGACGCUGAGGCGCGAAAGCUAGGGGAGCAAACGGG
rnacentral:rRNA from 1 species